GGAGUCUGGGCCGUAUCUCAGUCCCAAUGUGGCCGUUCAACCUCUCAGUCCGGCUACUGAUCGUCGCCUUGGUAGGCCGUUACCCCACCAACUAGCUAAUCAGACGCAAGAUCAUCUAUUAGCGGAUUACUCCUUUCCCACUAUUAUCAUGCGAUAAUUAUGGCAUAUGCGGUAUUAGCAAUGAUUUCUCAUUGUUAUUCCCCUCUAAUAGGUAGAUUUCUUACGCGUUACUCACCAGUCCGCCACUAAAGCCAUUGUUAUAUAAUCUACUUCAACUUUCUUUGAACAAGUUCGCAGUCUAUUUCCAUUUCAGAUAUAACGACUUCCGUUCGACUUGCAUGUCUUAUGUGCGCCGCCAGCGUUUAUC
rnacentral:rRNA from 1 species